GUAAAAAGUUACCAGCAAGGGUUGUCUGGAGUUAGGGAGACAUGUGUGUGACAACUCCUGUUGGAGCCUAAUAGGAAUCAUUCGCCAUUUGGAAGAAACCCUAACAUGAAACCGUAGCCCUUUGACCACCCAGGGAAACCACUGCAGCCACGGCCAAGUCACCAUUGGGAAUAUGUCUAAUUGGGAGCAAGCUAUGGGAGCGUUCCAGCUCAAUUUUCGUCUUGGCACCUGGGCCUACAGGAGUCAUGGGGUCGCACCAUCCUGGUGCAUCAUUUUCUAGGAUGCAACCGCAACCUCGUUUGGGAACAUUUAGUGAGGUGUUUUAGUAACUAUUGGUUUUUUUAUAUUUCAGACUAUCUGUUAAAUACACUAUGUUUUUUUUCCAGAUUUAGGUUACCUCUGGUUUUUUUUUUGACAUAUUUGUAUAUUAGAUUAUUUGGUUCCCAAACUUUGUAUCUAUGGUAACUUCUUGUGCACAGGAAUAAGCCUAGAGAAAAUUAGGUUUUUAAUACUUUACUAUUGCUUUGAUAUUGGUUUAUGUAAUUCGGGUAAAUUUAUUUUUUAAUAUUACUAGCUUGUUUCCCAAAUAUUUUACUGUUAUUCGCUUUAUUCCAUUUUGUUCGGUUAAUUUAGGUCAUCGUCGGUAUUUAUCUCAACUUCAUUUCUACUUUAGUCAAUUGUAUAUUUAACUUUAUUUAUUCAUUAUUGUAUUUUCCCUUAGUGAGGCUUGGGCCUAUUUAUUUGUAGUAUUUUCAUCUUUGUCAGUUUCAUUUAGUUGUACGUAGCAGGCGUACUAUAACCAUUUGGUAGAAGACUUAUGUAAUUUUGUACCCUAUAUAUAUGUAAGAGGUAUUUAAGUUUAUAACAGAUAACAUUAUUGUUGUUAUCUUUAAAAUAUAUAUAGCUUCUUGUAUAACUUAUGUCAUUUUAGAGUUACAUGAUAUAUGCUUGUCUAACUCAGAGAUUGUUAAAAAUCUAGUAGUUAUUUUAAUAAAUAUUUAUUUAUUUUGUA